rnacentral:rRNA from 1 species
AGGAUUAACGCUGGCGGCGUGCCUGACACAUGCAAGUCGAACGAGGCCGCAAGGCCGAGUGGCGGACGGGUGAGUAACACGUGACCAACCAACCUCGAAGUUGGGAAUAGCUCUGCGAAAGUAGGGGUAAUACCGAAUGUGGCCCAGGGCGGGCAUCCGCCUUGGUCUAAAGAUUCAUCGCUUCGAGACGGGGUCGCGGCCUAUUAGCUUGUUGGUGAGGUAACGGCUCACCAAGGCGAUGAUGGGUAGCUGGUCUGAGAGGACGACCAGCCACACUGGGACUGAGACACGGCCCAGACUCCUACGGGAGGCAGCAGUGAGGAAUCUUCCGCAAUGGGCGAAAGCCUGACGGAGCAACGCCGCGUGUGGGAUGAAGACUCUAGGGUUGUAAACCACUGGUCGGAGGGGACGAUCGUGACGGUACCCUCAAGAAACGCCCCGGCUAACUACGCGCCAGCAGCCGC